rnacentral:rRNA from 1 species
AUACGUAGGUGGCAAGCGUUGUCCGGAAUUAUUGGGCGUAAAGCGCAUGUAGGCGGUUUGGUAAGUCGGUCGUGAAAAUGCGGUGCUUAACGCCGUAUGGCGAUUGAAACUGCUGAACUUGAGUGCAGGAGAGGAAAGGGGAACUCCCAGUGUAGCGGUGAAAUGCGUAGGUAUUGGGAAGAACACCGGUGGCGAGGGCGCGUUGCGGGACGGUGGCGGACGCUCGGAGGCGAAAGCCGGGGGAGCGAGGGGGAUUGGAUACCCCGGUAGUCCACGCCGUAAACGAUGAAUACUAGGUGUAGGGGGUAUCGACUCCCUCUGUGCCGCAGUUAACACAAUAAGUAUUCCGCCUGGGGAGUGCGGCCGCAAGGUUGAAACUCAAAUGAAUUGACGGGG